ensembl:lincRNA 1700049E22Rik RIKEN cDNA 1700049E22 gene
CAACAUGGCUGCACUGAAGCGUGAGCCUCAGCCUCAGUGUUUGUAGGGAACCAUCAUAUUUUAACCCUAGCAGGGUGCCACUGCACCUUGACUCCAAACUUGAGGUGUUCCAGAGGGUCCUUGAGCGCUGCCAUUCGAGAGGCUACCAUUUAGGUCCAUGGCUUUCUCCGUGCACAGGAAAGGGCACUCUGUGAGGUUCUACAAGGUGACUCUCUGCCUAGCUUUACCGGCACCAGGCAAUGGUUCUGACCUCACUCUCGGGCCUUUGGUGUGGGGAAAGAGCCUGCAGCCAGGACAGCUACUGCUUGAGGUCACUAAGAUGCGAAAAUUGAGGCCUGGAGAACUGAAGAGCCUGUCCAAGACCAGCUAAUGAUCAAGGCACAGAGAAUGCUCACAGCCACCGAGAUCUGCUUCCCAGAUCUCCUCAGGCUCUCCUCUUCCUGGCCACCCUGAAGGUCCAACUCCCUUCAGAAUGCUCUGGUGACAUUAAAACUCAGAUGUCCUUCG